rnacentral:rRNA from 1 species
UACGUAGGUCCCGAGCGUUGUCCGGAUUUAUUGGGCGUAAAGCGAGCGCAGGUGGUUUAAUAAGUCUGAUGUAAAAGGCAGUGGCUCAACCAUGGUUCGCUUUGGAAACUGGAUAACUUGAGUGCAGAAGGGGAGAGUGGAAUUCCAUGUGUAGCGGUGAAAUGCGUAGAUAUAUGGAGGAACACCGGUGGCGAAAGCGGCUCUCUGGACUGUAACUGACACUGAGGCUCGAAAGCGUGGGUAGCAAACAGG